UCUUGGGUUGUAAACCUCUUUUCUCAGGGAAGAACAUAAUGACGGUACCUGAGGAAUAAGCAUCGGCUAACUCCGUGCCAGCAGCCGCGGUAAUACGGAGGAUGCAAGCGUUAUCCGGAAUGAUUGGGCGUAAAGCGUCCGCAGGUGGCUAUGUAAGUCUGCUGUUAAAGAGUGAGGCUCAACCUCAUAAGAGCAGUGGAAACUACAUAGCUAGAGUGCGUUCGGGGCAGAGGGAAUUCCUGGUGUAGCGGUGAAAUGCGUAGAGAUCAGGAAGAACACCGGUGGCGAAAGCGCUCUGCUAGGCCGCAACUGACACUGAGGGACGAAAGCUAGGGGAGCGAAUGGGAUUAGAUACCCCCAGUAGUCA
rnacentral:rRNA from 1 species